UGAGGCACGGCUAUAACAGGGGUACCUAAGACUGAGGCCCAAACACAAUGAAUGACAAAUGACAACAACUGCAUUUUGCUGCAAGUCUAAAAAAAUAAAAAAAUAAAUAAAAAAUUAAAAAAAUUACCCCCCCCCCGUCUGUGUCUAACCAUCAGUUUUACCAACAUCAAUACAAGCAAAACCACAAUUAAGGAGAAUUUUGUUCAGCUCUGGCUGCUAAACUUUAAAAAGCAUACAGAAAAACCAGAUUUCAUUCACAGGCAAGAAACUUAACCAGGCUGUGUUAGCCGGGGCUGCGGAGCUAGAGAAAGCUCUCGGCAGGGAGGAGGCUGCAGGGUCAUCAGGCAGAAGAAGGAAGAGGCCUCCCGUGUCAGAGACCCUGAGGGCCAGCACCAGAGCCAGGACCACAGGAUACAAGAUCUUCCAGAGCUAAUCACCGCUGUGCGGGGACCAUGCAGACUGGGCCGGAUUUACCAGAGCAAAGAAAGAGCAAGAAACUGAAGCUCAGAAAGAAAGAGAGACAGACAAGAGACAGACAGACAGGCAGAGCCGCAGUGCACACGGUGCGUGUGUCGGAGAGGCCGCCGGGAGACUCACCGCAGC